rnacentral:rRNA from 1 species
CCUACGGGUGGCAGCAGUGGGGAAUAUUGGACAAUGGGGGCAACCCUGAUCCAGCCAUGCCGCGUGUGUGAAGAAGGCCCUCGGGUUGUAAAGCACUUUCAGUGAGGAAGAACGCCUGGUGGUUAAUACCCAUCAGGAAAGACAUCACUCACAGAAGAAGCACCGGCUAACUCCGUGCCAGCAGCCGCGGUAAUACGGAGGGUGCGAGCGUUAAUCGGAAUUACUGGGCGUAAAGCGCGCGUAGGUGGCUUGAUAAGCCGGUUGUGAAAGCCCCGGGCUCAACCUGGGAACGGCAUCCGGAACUGUCAAGCUAGAGUGCAGGAGAGGAAGGUAGAAUUCCCGGUGUAGCGGUGAAAUGCGUAGAGAUCGGGAGGAAUACCAGUGGCGAAGGCGGUCUUCUGGACUGACACUGACACUGAGGUGCGAAAGCGUGGGUAGCAAACAGGAUUAGAUACCCGAGUAGUC